rnacentral:rRNA from 1 species
GAUGAACGCUAGCGGCAGGCCUAACACAUGCAAGUCGAGGGGUAGAGGUUGCUUGCAACCUUGAGACCGGCGCACGGGUGCGUAACGCGUAUGCAAUCUGCCUUGUACUGAGGGAUAGCCCAGAGAAAUUUGGAUUAAUACCUCAUAGUAUCUUUUCCCGGCAUCGGGAGAUUAUUAAAGUUCCAACGGUACAAGAUGAGCAUGCGUCCCAUUAGCUAGUUGGUAUGGUAACGGCAUACCAAGGCAAUGAUGGGUAGGGGUCCUGAGAGGGAGAUCCCCCACACUGGUACUGAGACACGGACCAGACUCCUACGGGAGGCAGCAGUGAGGAAUAUUGGUCAAUGGGCGCAAGCCUGAACCAGCCAUGCCGCGUGCAGGAUGAAGCAUCUAUGGUGUGUAAACUGCUUUUAUACGGGAAGAAACACCGGUUCGUGAACCGGCUUGACGGUGCCGUAAGAAUAAGGAUCGGCUAACUCCGUGCCAGCCGCCGCGGUAA